GACGAACGCUGGCGGCGUGCUUAACACAUGCAAGUCGAACGGUAAGGCCCUUCGGGGUACGCGAGUGGCGAACGGGUGAGUAACACGUGGGUGAUCUGCCCCGCACUUCGGGAUAAGCCUGGGAAACUGGGUCUAAUACCGGAUAGGACCACUGCCUGCAUGGGUGGUGGGGGAAAGCUUUUGCGGUGUGGGAUGGGCCCGCGGCCUAUCAGCUUGUUGGUGGGGUGAUGGCCUACCAAGGCGACGACGGGUAGCCGGCCUGAGAGGGUGACCGGCCACACUGGGACUGAGAUACGGCCCAGACUCCUACGGGAGGCAGCAGUGGGGAAUAUUGCACUAUGGGCGCAAGCCUGAUGCAGCGACGCCGCGUGAGGGAUGACGGCCUUCGGGUUGUAAACCUCUUUCAGCACCGACGAAGCGCAAGUGACGGUAGGUGCAGAAGAAGGACAGGCCAACUACGUGCCAGCCGCCGCCGUAA
rnacentral:rRNA from 1 species